GACGAACGCUGGCGGUGUGCUUCACACAUGCAAGUCGAACGAGGUAGCAAUACCUAGUGGCGGACGGGUGAGUAACGCGUGGGAAUCUGCCUUUAGAUGGGGGGAUAACGGGUCGAAAGACUCGCUAAUACCGCAUAUGACGAAAGUUGAAAGGAGUAAUCCGUCUAAAGAUGAGCCCGCGUCCGAUUAGCUAGUUGGUAGAGUAAAAGCCUACCAAGGCGACGAUCGGUAGCUGGUCUGAGAGGAUGAUCAGCCACAAUGGGAACUAGAGACACGGCCCAUACUCCUACGGAGGCAGCAGUGGGAAUUUUACGCAAUGGGCGAAAGCCUGACGUAGCGACACCGCGUGAGCGAAGAAGCCCUUGGGGUGUAAAGCUCUGUCAGCUGGAACGAAAAAAGUGACGGUACCAGCAGA
rnacentral:rRNA from 1 species